CCAUACCACACUGAAUGCGUCCGAUCCCGUCUGAUCUCAGAAGCUAAGCAGGGUCGGGCCUGGUUAGUACUUGAAUGGGAGAAAAAAAAAAGAAAAAAAAU
ensembl:rRNA 5S_rRNA 5S ribosomal RNA